rfam:Triticum aestivum genome assembly, contig: Triticum_aestivum_CS42_TGACv1_scaffold_080298_1DS
UCUCUUCUCCUUCCACGUUCCGAAUUACUUGUCGCAAGUAUGGAUGUAUCUAGAAGUAUUUUAGUUCUAGAUACAUCCAUUUCUGCGACGAGUAAUUUGGAACGGAGGGAGUACAUG